UUAGUACUCCCUCCGUCCGGAAAUACUUGUCAUCAAGAUGAAUAAAAGGGGAUGUAUCUAGACAUAUUUUAGUUCUAGAUACAUCCCUUUUAUCCAUUUUGAUGACAAGUAUUUUCGGACGGAGGGAGUACUUG
rnacentral:pre_miRNA from 1 species